rnacentral:rRNA from 1 species
UACGUAGGGAGCAAGCGUUGUCCGGAAUCAUUGGGCGUAAAGCGCGCGUAGGCGGCCCUGUAAGUCCGCUGUGAAAGUCAAAGGCUCAACCUUUGAAAAGCCGGUGGAUACUGCAGGGCUAGAGUCCGGAAGAGGCGAGUGGAAUUCCUGGUGUAGCGGUGGAAUGCGCAGAUAUCAGGAGGAACACCGGUGCGGAAGGCGGGCUCU